rnacentral:tRNA from 1 species
GCCCUAGUAGCUCAGUAUAAGAGCGCCGGUUUUGUAAUCCGGAGGCCGAAGGUUAAAUUCCUUCCUAGUGCU